GAUGAACGCUAGCGGGAGGCCUAACACAUGCAAGCCGAGCGGUAUCGUUUCUUCGGAAAUGAGAGAGCGGCGUACGGGUGCGGAACACGUGUGCAACCUGCCUUUAUCUGGGGGAUAGCCUUUCGAAAGGAAGAUUAAUACUCCAUAAUAUAUUGAACGGCAUCGUUUAAUAUUGAAAGCUCCGGCGGAUAGAGAUGGGCACGCGCAAGAUUAGCUAGUUGGUGAGGUAACGGCUCACCAAGGCGAUGAUCUUUAGGGGGCCUGAGAGGGUGAUCCCCCACACUGGUACUGAGACACGGACCAGACUCCUACGGGAGGCAGCAGUGAGGAAUAUUGGUCAAUGGGUGCAAGCCUGAACCAGCCAUCCCGCGUGAAGGACGACUGCCCUAUGGGUUGUAAACUUCUUUUGUAUAGGGAUAAACCUACCCUCGUGAGGGUAGCUGAAGGUACUAUACGAAUAAGCACCGGCUAACUCCGUGCCAGCAGCCGCGGUAAUACGGAGGGUGCAAGCGUUAUCCGGAUUUAUUGGGUUUAAAGGGUCCGUAGGCGGACUUAUAAGUCAGUGGUGAAAGCCUGUCGCUUAACGAUAGAACUGCCAUUGAUACUGUAAGUCUUGAGUAUAUUUGAGGUAGCUGGAAUAAGUAGUGUAGCGGUGAAAUGCAUAGAUAUUACUUAGAACACCAAUUGCGAAGGCAGGUUACCAAGAUAUAACUGACGCUGAGGGACGAAAGCGUGGGGAGCGAACAGGAUUAGAUACCCUGGUAGUCCACGCCGUAAACGAUGCUAACUCGUUUUUGGGCUUUAGGGUUCAGAGACCAAGCGAAAGUGAUAAGUUAGCCACCUGGGGAGUACGCUCGCAGGAGUGAAACUCAAAGGAAUUGACGGGGGCCCGCACAAGCGGUGGAUUAUGUGGUUUAAUUCGAUGAUACGCGAGGAACCUUACCAAGACUUAAAUGGGAAUUGACAGCUUUAGAAAUAGAGCUUUCUUCGGACAAUUUUCAAGGUGCUGCAUGGUUGUCGUCAGCUCGUGCCGUGAGGUGUUAGGUUAAGUCCUGCAACGAGCGCAACCCCUGUCACUAGUUGCCAUCAUUCAGUUGGGGACUCUAGUGAGACUGCCUACGCAAGUAGAGAGGAAGGUGGGGAUGACGUCAAAUCAUCACGGCCCUUACGUCUUGGGCCACACACGUAAUACAAUGGCCGGUACAGAGGGCAGCUACACAGCGAUGUGAUGCAAAUCUCGAAAGCCGGUCUCAGUUCGGAUUGGAGUCUGCAACUCGACUCUAUGAAGCUGGAAUCGCUAGUAAUCGCGCAUCAGCCAUGGCGCGGUGAAUACGUUCCCGGGCCU
rnacentral:rRNA from 1 species